GACGAACGCUGGCGGCGUGCUUAACACAUGCAAGUCGAGCGGUAAGGCCCUUUCGGGGGUACACGAGCGGCGAACGGGUGAGUAACACGUGGGUGACCUGCCCUCAGCUCUGGGAUAAGCCUGGGAAACUGGGUCUAAUACUGGAUAUGACUCCACGGUGCAUGUCGUGGGGUGGAAAGCCUUGUGCGGCUGAGGAUGGGCCCGCGGCCUAUCAGCUUGUUGGUGGGGUGANGGGCCUACCAAGGCGACGACGGGUAGCCGGCCUGAGAGGGCGACCGGCCAUACUGGGACUGAGACACGGCCCAGACUCCUACGGGAGGCAGCAGUGGGGAAUCUUGCGCAAUGGGCGAAAGCCUGACGCAGCGACGCCGCGUGAGGGAUGACGGCCU
rnacentral:rRNA from 1 species